rnacentral:rRNA from 1 species
GCGAAACCUCCUCAAUGCACUAAAGUGCGAAGGGGUUACCUCGAGUGCCAUCUGAUGAAGGUGGCUUUUCCUUGGUCUAAAAAGCCUAGGGAAUAAGAGGGGGGCAAGACUGGUGUCAGCCGCCGCGGUAACACCAGCCCCUCGAGUGGUGGGGAUGAUUAUUUGGCCUAAAGCGUCCGUAGCCGGCCGGGUAAGUUUCCCGUUAAAUCCAACGUCUCAAGCGUUGGACUGCGGGAAAUACUGCCUGGCUAGAGAGUGGGAGAGGUCAGCGGUAUUCUGGGGGUAGGGGCGAAAUCCUUUGAUCCCCGGAGGACCACCAGUGGCGAAGGCUGCUGACUAGAACACGUCUGACGGUCAGGGACGAAAGCUGGGGUAGCGAACCGGAUUAGAUACCCGGGUAGUCCCAGCCGUAAACGAUGCAUGCUAGGUGUUGGGUUGGCCACGAGCCACCCCAGUGCCGCAGGGAAGCCGUUAAGCAUGCCGCCUGGGAAGUACGAUCGCAAGAUUGAAACU